GAUGAACGCUGGCGGCGUGCCUAAUACAUGCAAGUCGAGCGAACAGACGAGGAGCUUGCUCCUCUGACGUUAGCGGCGGACGGGUGAGUAACACGUGUAUAACCUACCUAUAAGACUGGGAUAACUUCGGGAAACCGGAGCUAAUACCGGAUAAUAUAUUGAACCGCAGGGUUCAAUAGUGAAAGACGGUGUUGCUGUCACUUAUAGAUGGAUCUGCGCCGCUUUAGCUGGUUGGUAAGGUAACGGCUUAUCAAGGCUACGAUGCGUAGCCGACCUGAGAGGGUGAUCGGCCACACUGGAGCGGAGACACGGUCCAUACUCCUACGGGAGGCAGCAGUCGGCAAUCUUCCGCAAUGGUCGAAAGCCUGACGCAGCGACGCCGCGUGAGUGAUGACGGUCCUCGGAGCGUAAAACUCUGUUAUUAGUGAAGAACCACUGUGUAAGUAACUAUGCACGUAUUGACGGUACCUAAUCAGAAAGCCACGGCUAACUACGUG
rnacentral:rRNA from 1 species